CUUUGAUUUAUCCCUUCUUUUCUUCUUUUCCGUACUCUCUCUCUAUAGCUCAUACCCUUAAAUAUGGUUCCUGCUGUAACUUUUAUCAGUGUCUCCCUCUCCCUACUCCCAUGGGAUCAUCAUGCGAAGAUGCCUCUAGUGAAAGAGUGCGUCAAGUUCCAUCAUGAAUGGAAAUAAGGGAGAUACCACCAUGGACGUGGAGAGUACUGCCGGGAAUGAGACAGAAUUCCGACCGCUUGAACACCCAAGGGAGCCGCCGUUUGAUGAAGAUCAGCCGAUUGAAUGUCCCAUGCGUGUGUCCUCUGCUGUCAAUGUCGGAGAGAUGCCCAAGGAAAACUCAAUGGAGAGCCCAAGGAAGAGAAUGGAAUCAACAAAUAUGAUGAGUAAUGAAGGGACGAUUCUCAAGGCGGAUGCUGAACCCCCCAGUGCACGAAAGAGGCAUCAUAAUCAGACCCAUGGGGACAUUGUCAUAACUCCAAUCCUGAGGAACAUACCACCACCACCGCAAUCAAACUUAACCCAUGAACUCACCACACUUCACCAGAUGGACAGUUUCAAGCCUAAUUUAAAUUGAAUGAGGUAUAUAAUUAGUGAAUGUUGAUCUCCCUCCCUCCCUCUUUCUCUAUAGUGCUGAUAAGGAAGGUGAGGGUGCAGAGGGAGCUGUCUAUUCAACUUCAGUGUACUCUGUUCUCUGGAAGAUAUGGUGAUCGGCUAUUGUAGGAAGAUGCAGAAAAAGGAAAAAAGAAGGACCAGUUCGUCAAACUAAAAAUACAGACUGACUUGUUUAGACUGUUUAAGUUAACAGAACAUACUCUUGCUUCUUUUAGUGAAGAUUAAGAAAAUGAACUCACAGCAUGUUCCUCUUAUGGGUAGUAUUACAUUCGUUAAAUCAUCAUGGAAGAAUUUUUUGUGUUUGAAAUAUAUAACUCGUUUUAAUUGUUAAUGCAUGUCCGAGAGAUGGAGAUCAGAGAGUCGGAGGAGAUCCAUGUAGAGAGUAUAAUACGAGGAAAACUGCACACAUGAGAGGACAAAGAGCAAAGGAAAAUAUGCUACGACGAAGUGGUUCUGUCCUUGUACUAGAGAUUGUUAAAUCGCCUUAUGCCUACCCGAAGAUCCUAAUGAUCCCAAAAAUAUUUGAAAAGUUUAACUUUCAUACAGUAAUGUACUGAUAAGGAGGGAGGCAAAGAGAUGUAUGAAAAAAUAAAAGAACUGCUAAAAACCUCCUCAGCUUGUACAAGGAUGCAAUUUAAUUAUAGAUAGUGAUGCUUCCUUCUAUUUU